CAUCCACGGCGUCGGCGUCGUCGUCGUCGUCCCGCCCGAACGAAUCCCCAGCUCCGGCCGCCGCCGCAAAUCACAUAGGCGCGGCGAAGCCAACUCGGCAGCGCCUCCUCCCUCCUAUCCGGGGCUACCUACAACACACCACCACCUAUUCAGCCAGCCAGACGAUUCAAACCAAACCAACCCACACAAACCGACGACGCCCGGCGCCACCACGCCUUCCCAGAGACCAACGACUCACCGUCCCCCGGCGGAGGCGCUCGUCGGUCGUCGCAGGGCGGCGGUCGCCCCGCCCCACCCAGAGACGGAACGCACGUACGGUCAGGA
rnacentral:lncRNA from 1 species